rnacentral:lncRNA from 1 species
AGCCAGAGGUGCUCCUAUGUGUUUGCUGAGCAAGGUGACGCUCCCAUGUGAUGGGUGAGCAACUGCAGUGUGAGUGGAGCUGCCGGUCCCGGGGCACACACACAGACUGACAGACUGAGAUUCCUCUGUGAUCGGCCCAAGGCAAGUGACAUCAUCUCUUUGGGGGCCGGUUUCUUCAAGACACUGGGUAAGAUGUCUGAAGGCUCCUUUGGUAGAAGCUCCCGUUUGCUGUCCUCGGUAUGACCAGCUUGGAGGAGACAAAGACGCGGUCCAGGGGCUUACCUAGAGGAGCCCAUAGCUAAGGGGGAAGAAUAAACAUAACCGAUAUGACUUGCUUCA